AUUGAACGCUGGCGGCAGGCUUAACACAUGCAAGUCGAGCGGGGUGAUGGUGCUUGCACUAUCACUUAGCGGCGGACGGGUGAGUAAUGCUUAGGAAUCUGCCUAUUAGUGGGGGACAACAGCUCGAAAGGGAUGCUAAUACCGCAUACGUCCUACGGGAGAAAGCAGGGGAUCACUUGUGACCUUGCGCUAAUAGAUGAGCCGAAGUCGGAUUAGCUAGUUGGUGGGGUAAAGGCCUACCAAGGCGACGAUCUGUAGCGGGUCUGAGAGGAUGGUCCGCCACACUGGGACUGAGACCCGGCCCAGACUCCUACGGGAGGCAGCAGUGGGGAAUAUUGGACAAUGGGGGGAACCCUGAUCCAGCCAUGCCGCGUGUGUGAAGAAGGCCUUAUGGUUGUAAAGCACUUUAAGCGAGGAGGAGGCUCUUUUGGUUAAUACCCAAGAUGAGUGGACGUUACUCGCAGAAUAAGCACCGGCUAACUCUGUGCCAGCCGCCGCCGUAA
rnacentral:rRNA from 1 species